rnacentral:rRNA from 1 species
GGCAGCAGUGGGGAAUAUUGGACAAUGGGCGCAAGCCUGAUCCAGCCAUGCCGCGUGAGUGAUGAAGGCCUUAGGGUUGUAAAGCUCUUUCACUGGGGAAGAUAAUGACGGUACCCAGAGAAGAAGCCCCGGCUAACUUCGUGCCAGCAGCCGCGGUAAUACGAAGGGGGCUAGCGUUGUUCGGAAUCACUGGGCGUAAAGCGCACGUAGGCGGACUUUUAAGUCAGGGGUGAAAUCCCAAGGCUCAACCUUGGAACUGCCUUUGAUACUGGAAGUCUUGAGUUCGGGAGAGGUGAGUGGAACUGCGAGUGUAGAGGUGAAAUUCGUAGAUAUUCGCAAGAACACCAGUGGCGAAGGCGGCUCACUGGCCCGAUACUGAC